AAGCCUGUGCUCCAUUUCCUGGGCUUUUCAUUUCUCCUGAUCACUAUGGCAGCUGGGCAGUGAGGCAGCAAGGCAAUCGCUAAUAAUCUCUGCUGAGACUUCUCAGCCUGGGUUUCUCACUGACUGGAAUCUUUCAUUCUGUUUUUUUUAGAUUGCCUGCCAGGAUGUUCUGGGUGUCAGCAGAGAGAGCUCCUUCAAUUCACACAAAUAUUCUCCAUUUAGCAUCAAGUAUUUCUCUACAGGAGGAAGACAACUAGGGAAAUAACACGACAAAACAGAAUUCGCACAGUUAAAUCUUCAAACAACACGGAGAAAAGCAGAACAUUCUCGCUGUUGGAGGGGAGCAAGAGCGUGGUCUCUCCAGUGCCGAAUGCAGGGAGACAUUCACUGCCGCGACCCUGCUGCCACACCAUGGUGUCGACGGAAGGAGACCAGGACAUCAGGUUGAUCAUCACAGGUCUGAUUUUAUUGAUCAGCACAGCGGGUUAAAUACAGUUCGUAAUUAACUUCAUGCAUAUUGCAAAAGUUGAGCUCAGGAUUGGUUAGUUACAUAUCAGCAGUUA
rnacentral:lncRNA from 1 species